rnacentral:rRNA from 1 species
GACGAACGCUGGCGGCGCGCCUAACACAUGCAAGUCGAACGGAGCUGAGAGAAGCUUGCUUUUCUUAGCUUAGUGGCGAACGGGUGAGUAACGCGUGAGUAACCUGCCCUGGAGUGGGGGACAACAGUUGGAAACGACUGCUAAUACCGCAUAAGCCCACGAUCCGGCAUCGGAUUGAGGGAAAAGGAUUUAUUCGCUUCAGGAUGGACUCGCGUCCAAUUAGCUAGUUGGUGAGGUAACGGCCCACCAAGGCGACGAUUGGUAGCCGGACUGAGAGGUUGAACGGCCACAUUGGGACUGAGACAAGGCCCAGACUCCUACGGGAGGCAGCAGUGGGGGAUAUUGCACAAUGGGGGAAACCCUGAUGCAGCGACGCCGCGUGGAGGAAGAAGGUUUUCGGAUUGUAAACUCCUGUCGUUAGGGACGAUAAUGACGGUACCUAACAAGAAAGCACCGGCUAACGACG